UGGCCUCCUCACUGGUGGUCCUGGGUGCUGUAAGUAAGCAGACUGAAAUCUGACCUAGCUGUGAUUCUCUUUAACCCCAGCACUCAGGCAGAGGCAGGUGGAUCUCUGAGCUGGAGGCCAGCCUGGGCUACAGAGUGAUUUGUGGGUAGCUAGAGCUACAUACUGAGACACUGCCUCAAAAUACAAAACAAAAAAUCCACCCAGCUACCUAUCCCACCCCAUCCCCCCAGAAAGAAAGAAGAAAGCAGGCUGAGCAAGCCAGCAAGCAUCAUACACCGUAGCUCCUGCCUUGCGUUCCUGCCCUGACUCCCCUGGAUGGUGGACUGCGAGCUGACGGAUGAUGUCAGCCCUUUACUCUCCAGUUGUUCUUGUCAUGGUGUUUUAUCUACCGUAACUAAGACACCACCCUACCCACCCUCAGCAAGGACAGAAGAAGGCCUGAGCACCCUUUGCUCCUCGUUGCUAGGCUGUUGCCGGGAGGUACAGCUGCCAACUGGGUGCUCAUCCCACUGCAGGUCCAGCUGCUGCUUACGGGUCUUUGCCUGGCAUCCUCACACCAACAAGUUUGCAGUGGCCCUGCUGGACGACUCCAUCCGUGUUUAUAAUGCCAACAGGUGCGUGUGUGCGUGUGUGCGUGUGUGCGUGUGUAUGCAAGCAGGGUCAGGUUCAGACCCGGCUCACUUCCUGCUGGCCUUGGCCCGGCACUUCAUGGGCCCGGCACUUCAUGGGCUAGUCCAUAGGGCUCCUUCCAGAAUUGGGGUUGGGAACACAGGAUAUGUCCUUCCUGCAUCUGACUUUUUUUCUAAGGUAGGAUCUCUGCUGGCCUUGAACUCAGAGAUCCCCCUGCCUCUGCCUCCCAAGUGCUGGGAUGAAAGAGGUGCACUAUGACUCCUAGUGCAUAUCUAAGUUUUACUUUAUUUAUGCUUCUGUCUCACAGUAUCCAGUGCUCUUGACCCAACCCCUGGAUGGACUCCUCCCUCCCUGUGGUUUUACCCUGUGCUGAGAAUCAGACCCAGGACUUUGUACAGGCAGAGUACCAGGGUUACCUCUAAGCUACAUCUUUAGGCCCUGAGUUAGAUUUCUUCUGUGUUGGUUUUACUUUAAAAAAAAAAAAAGAUUUAUUUAUUCAUUUAAUGUAUGAGUACACUGUCGCUGUCUUCAGACACACCAGAAGAGGGCAUCGGAUCCCCUUUCAGAUGGUUGUGAGUCGACAUGUGUUUGCUGGGGUUUGAACUCAGGACCUCUAGAAGAGCAGUCAGUGCUCUUAACCACUGAGCCAUCUCUCCAGCCCAUGGUUUACUUUUAAUCUUUUGUUUUACCGUUUUUGGUUUUUUUAAGAUUCAUUUUAUUUUAUGCGAAUGGGUAUUUUGCCUGAGAAUGUACAUGAAUGUGUACCAUGUACAUGCCUGGUGCUAUGAGAGGAGUUAUAGACAGUAGUAAGCUACCAUGUAGGUGCUGGGGAUUGAACCCAGCCCCUCUAAAGGAGCAGCCAGAGCUCUAAGCCAUCUUUCUCAGCCCCUCCCCCCACCCCUUUUUUUUUUUUUUUGGAGGCAGGGUUUCUCAGUGUAGCCCUGGCUGUCCUAGAACCUGCUCUGUAGACCAGGCUGGCCUCACUCAAAGAUCUGCCUCCUGAGUGCUGUGAUUUAAGGUGUGUGCCAUGACACCGGGCCUGUUUUACCUUCUUGAAAAUUGUUUUAAAUUUUAUUUAUUUUUGAUGUGAUUGAGUGUUUUGCCUGCUUCCAUGCUAGAAGAGGGCAACUUAUCCUCUGGAACUAGAGUUACAGACAGUUGUGAGCUACCAUGUAGGUGCUAGGAACUGAGCCCAUGCCCUUUGGAAGAUCAGCCAGUGCUGUUAAUCGCCGAGCCAUCUCUCUAGCACCUUGUUUUUUUUUAGUGGGACUUGGGCUCUUUGAGCUCCGUGCCUCUGCUUUGACUUAGUUUCCUGCCUCUGUAUCCAGCACUAUAGUUCCCUCCCUGAAGCACCGUCUGCAGCGAAAUGUAGCAGCCUUGGCCUGGAAGCCCCUCAGUGCCUCUGUCUUGGCUGUGGCCUGCCAGAGCUGUAUUCUCAUCUGGACCCUAGACCCCACUUCCUUAUCUACGAGGUGAGUCAUGGCAUCCUGUCCUGACCUUUCUGAGGGUCAUGCCAAGGGCCCAUGGGGUAUGCAAGUUAUUCUCAUGCCGCUUCCUAGGGCUGUGGGAAAAGCGGAUCUAAGGUCAGGUGGGUGCUAGGGUGCCCUGUGUAGACAAAGGGACAGAUUUAGAGGCCUCUGGGAUUUGGGAAAAUAUGCCUGUGGGUCAUACACUUCCAGCCAGCCAGAGGUAUAACAGUAGAGCAGGAACAAAUACACACAUGGGUAGAAACCAUAAAAAUGGAACAAUCAGUAGGCAGUGGUGGCCCACUCCUCGAAUCCUAGCACUCCAGUGUCAGAGGAAGGAAGUCGGAUCUCUGAGUUCAAGGUCUACAGGCUGUCUGGGACAGUCAGGGCUACACAGAGAAACCUUGUCUCAAAAAAACAAAAACACCCCCCC
rnacentral:lncRNA from 1 species